UUUUUGAGAUGUCCAUUCUUAUCUAAAAGAGAAGAUGCAAUGAAAGUGGACACAAACUAAUGAGAGCCCUAUCAAGUGAAGUGCGGAUGGCCUCCAACAACUGAUUUUCAGCAAGUGUUUUAUGAUAGAUGCAAUCCAUCAGAAAUUUUAUCUCCGGAAUCAAGAAAGCAUUCAGACCUAACAGUUUAUAGAUAAGAAAACUGAGGAAGAUAAAGUUUAAGUGAUUUCCUAUUGACUAGGGAGAAGAUAGAUCCAUCUUCCAUCUAGUGUCUGGGCAUCUACAGAUUGAAAAUGGCAGACCAUUCCAACAAGAAACAUCCUAUCCUUAAGGAGGAGUUGAAGGCAUCAAGGUGUUGCAGUGGAUAUAAUGCUGGAACUGGAGUUAGGAAGACCAGAGUUCAAAUUUGACCUAGACACUUACUAGAUAUGUGACCCUGGGCAAGUUAUUUAACUUCUCUCUCUAUGCCUCAAUUUCCUAAUCUAUAGCAUGGAGAUAAAAAUAGCACUUCCCAUGGUUCUUGAAUGGGUUAAAGGAGGUAUUUGUAAAGGAUUUUGUGUACCUUAAAGCACUAUGUAAAUGGUAAUUUAAAAAAGAAAAGCCUUCUUUUUGGUUAUUAGCAACCUUUCCCCUCUCACUUGAGAUUUGAUUCAGAACUUUAUUCUGCAUCUAUUUUGUCCAUCAUAAAAUAUUUUGAAGUACAAAUAUCUACAUUUUUGUCUUC